UCGAGCGAUGAAACUUUAACAGAACCCUUCGGGGCGAAGAUAAAGUGGAUUAGCGGCGGACGGGUGAGUAACACGUGAGUAACCUGCCUUAGACAUUGGGAUAGCCUCGGGAAACCGGGAUUAAUACCAAAUAAAAUCAUAAUGACACAUGUCAUAACGAUCAAAACUCCGGUGGUCUAAGAUGGACUCGCGUCCCAUUAGCUAGUUGGUAGAGUAAAAGCCUACCAAGGCGACGAUGGGUAGCCGGCCUGAGAGGGUGAACGGCCACAUUGGAACUGAGAAACGGUCCAAACUCCUACGGGAGGCAGCAGUGGGGAAUAUUGCACAAUGGAGGGAACUCUGAUGCAGCGACGCCGCGUGAACGAAGAAGGCUUUCGAGUCGUAAAGUUCUUUUAUAUGGGAAGAUAAUGACGGUACCAUAAGAAAAAGCCCCGGCUAACUACGUGCCAGCAGCCGCGGUAAUACGUAGGGGGCUAGCGUUGUCCGGAAUCACUGGGCGUAAAGGGUUCGCAGGCGAAAAUGCAAGUCAGAUGUAAAAGGCAGUAGCUUAACUACUGUAAGCAUUUGAAACUGCAUAUCUUGAGAAGAGUAGAGGUAAGUGGAAUUUUUAGUGUAGCGGUGAAAUGCGUAGAUAUUAAAAAGAAUACCGGUGGCGAAGGCGACUU
rnacentral:rRNA from 2 species